GAGGGAGUAGCCAAGCGGCCAACGGCGCGGGUCUUAAGAACCCGUCCCGUAGGGGUUCCGGGGUUCGAAUCCCCGCUCCCUCA
rnacentral:tRNA from 1 species